rnacentral:rRNA from 1 species
CACGGAGUUAGCCGAUCCUUAUUCUUACGAUACCGUCAAGCUCCUUCACGAAGGAGUGUUUCUUCUCGUAUAAAAGCAGUUUACAAUCCAUAGGACCGUCAUCCUGCACGCGGCAUGGCUGGAUCAGGCUUGCGCCCAUUGUCCAAUAUUCCCCA